CAGUAGCCGCGGGAAUACGAAGGGGGCUAGCGUUGUUCGGAUUUACUGGGCGUAAAGGGUGCGUAGGCGGAUUGUUAAGUCAGGGGUGAAAUGCCGAGGCUCAACCUCGGAACUGCCUUUGAUACUGGCGAUCUUGAGUCCGGGAGAGGUGGGUGGAACUGCGAGUGUAGAGGUGAAAUUCGUAGAUAUUCGCAAGAACACCGGUGGCGAAGGCGGCCCACUGGCCCGGAAUUGACGCUGAGGCACGACAGCGUGGGGAGCAAACAGGAUUAGAUACCCCGGUAGUCCCUGUCUCUUAUAC
rnacentral:rRNA from 1 species